rnacentral:lncRNA from 1 species
UUUUUGACAGGAAGCAAGAGCGGGUAUUUGAUAUAUAUAUAUGCAGUUUUAUCAAGUACACCUAAUUUGAUUUGUCCGAUAGUUUUUACAGCUCUUUUGUAAUCGACUGGGACAUAUAUCUCCAAUUUUAUUUUUUAUUUUUUUGUGCACACAAUAUUUUUUUUUCAAAAUCACAUUUCUAAUGUUUUUCCUUUCAAAAU